AGUUAGCUCGUCCGGCCAGAAGGCGGUGUGCCGUAACGCAUGGACCGCCUCCAGGGAGGGGAACUCCCACGCAGGUCGCGGGAGGUCGUGGCUCUUCCAGCAGUACCCGCUGAGGGCGCGGGCGCUCGCGCGGUGGUAGAGCACGCCGCCGUCGUAGAGCAGCAGCAGGAGGAGGAGUAGGCCAAGUGAGUGCUUGCAGAGCUUGCCGCCAGCGGCGUCGGCGCGAUGGCCCUGUAAGUGGCCGCGCCUGACGCCGUAAACGUAGCGGCCGCAGCCGCGGCCCGCCCCCUACCGCCCCUAGUACGCGCCUUCCCGGUAGCGGCCUCUGCGCCCCCUGCAGCUCCGCCUGCUUCGUCUGCCCCCGCCGCUCUCUCCGGGCUCCGCGAGCCCCUCCCGGAGCUCCUACGGGGGGCCGCCCGCCGCCUCCGCCCCCGAUCCCAAACGCCGCGCCUGCCUCCUGUACUCGUCCCCGGCCGCGCCGCCGCCGCCGACGCCGGCGAGCCCUCUAGGCUGGGGGCUCGGCUUCUCCAGCAGGAGCAGCUCGAGCUUCCGGCGGCUCCGCCCGACCAGCGGCCGCCGGCGCGCCCCCUCCUUACGCGGCUCCUUCGCGAGCCUCGACCCGCUCGAGAACACCGCGCGCGCUAGGUACCGCUCCGACACGCCCGCCUGCUCGCUACAUUGCCGACCGCGGCCUAAGCGCUAACUGCCGUUUGCAGUGGCCACCCCUCCGCCGCUAGGCCGUCGCGUCAUC
rnacentral:rRNA from 1 species